GAUGAACGCUAGCGGCAGGCCUAAUACAUGCAAGCCGAACGGCAAGAUUUUCAGCAAUGGAAAUCCUAGAGUGGCGUAAGGGUGCGUAACACGUAUGCAAUCUGCCCUACAACAGGAGGAUAGCUCCCGAAAGGGAUUAAGACUCAUAAGAUCUUAGAGUGCAUCACUUAGAGAUUAAACUACCAGGGGUUGAGGAUGAGCAUGCGCANGAUUA
rnacentral:rRNA from 1 species